CGCAGGAAAAGAGGAAACCACAUGAGUGAUGAUGAUGAUGAUGAUGAUGAUGAGUGCCUUUUGAGAGAAAAAUCAGAGAGAAGGAAAAGCGAUGUGUUGACAUCGUGCAGAAAUUGAAUUAGAAGCUGCAGUUUCUGCGCCGCAGAGGAGCCGGAAUGCUACCUGCAGGCCGGAGACGGAGGCUCUCCAGCCCCGCGUGCACACGCCUCGGAGGACACUCACGGUCCAUCAGGUGUCCUGGUAGGAAGUCUGGACUGAGGACACGUUUCAGGUUCGAUUUCAUAUGUCAGGUAUUAGUGGCCUAUUAUUCUCCCGCGUUUGAGAAAUUAUUAGUAAUUCUAAUCCCUGACAACUGGAAGUUUCCACAAGUUUCAAAUUUUGUUGCAAUUAAAAAUGACAGAAACAUUAUGUGACGAUAUGAUUAUUUAAUGCUUCAAGAAUUAAAACGGAAUUAAUGAAACACAUGCAACUGAGUCAUAAAAUACUAGCGCAGUCAGAGAGGAAUGAGUGCAGUGAGACCAAUGCAAAUAAGCUGCACCCUUAAAACUACGGAGCUGACAUACAUCUUCUCACGCUCUGAAUUAAUGUGCGCUAAUUGAAAUGAAAGUGAGCCUGAAAUGUUUAGGUAAGUAGAUCCCUGCUUCUUCUGCUCCUCUCUACAGGUACUGUUGUAUUAACUGCCUUGUAAAAUGACAGAAACCUAAAGUAGCAGAGCAUGGCAACUGACACAUGUGUUUCUUGAAGGAUAAUUAUGGAGGAUGGAAUUAAAGUGGAACCAGGAGAUAUCGUAACCACGUUCCUGAUUCAAACACAUAUCCCCAGCAGCCGGUUGAGCUGAGAUCAGCCAGCACAUCCGGCAUUGCCUGCGACAUUUGACUAUAUGUACAGGCCCUGACACACUGAUGCUUAAGGGUAACAGAACUGUCUCGGUUUACGGGACUCCUGGAGGUGACUACAGGAGGGGAAAAAAAGGCAAACAUCAAAUUAUCCUCAUGUGGUCUGUAAGUGAACCUGAUUUGGGGUUUUAGGCAAUUGUGUAAUUCAAUAUAGUUCAAAGAUUGAACUCUUCGUUGACAGUUACACAUUGAUCUAUAUGCAGUAGGACGGUUUGUUUAGGAUCUAUGUUAUGCUCUAUUGGUCCUUGUGUCAAUCUGUACCUUUUCUUCAGCAGCUGAUCACCUUCACGCCAAGAUAAUCUACUCACCAGGUCAUGAUAGUCUUAAUUAGAGGGCUAUUAUUAAAAAGAAUUUGUUUUUCUCAGAUUCCUCAGAAAUUGUAGUGUUAUUUAUGCCAACCAAUAAGUGUCCUAUAGCGUUUUUAAGAAGCUUUUCCAUCCACGUGGCCAUGUGGGUUUGAAGAGUGGAGACAAUGAUGGUCCAACAUGCAGGAAGCAUGCGGGUAGGUUCCCCACAGGGAGCUUGGUUGCAGAGAACAACUCAAAGUGACAGGUAAAGAGGCCAUGCUUGUUUACAUUGUGCUAUAUUCUGGUCAUACAAAUGAUUCUGGGCUGCUCACUUUCAAUCAAAACCUUUUUUUAUCACCCUUUUAACAUAGAUCUAGAAACUAAUGUACUACAGAAUGUCAAUCUACAUUUAACAACCUCUACAGUCAUCCAAGACCGAGGAUGCUGUACACAUUGCAAAGCCCCCUGAUGACACAUUUUGAUUUUACGCUAUAUAAAUACAACUUGAAUUAAAUUAGAAUUAAAAUAGUUUGUAAUCAGAUAUUUGAAAGCUUUUUUAGUUUUGAAGGUCUUACAAUCACCAGAUUUUCAUAUAUUGCGCAAUUCACUGAAAUAAUAAACGCUCAAAUAUCCCUCUUUUGAAUUGUAAAAAUGGAAUCAUAUUUAUUAUGUUAUUAAUUGCAGGAUUUUGCCACAAUCCUGAUUUUUAUUGUGACGAUACAAAUUAAUCCAAAGUCAAAUGUUGUAAAGUAAGGAUCUUUUUUUCUUCUAAAUACUAAAUUAUACACAGCCCAUCAUAACAAUAAGCAAAUGUGGUUCGCUGAAGGAAACCAAAAUAAAUGUUUCAAGCCAUGUAUGAAUUAGCAUUUAUAUGUAUUUGCACCGAGCGUCCCAGCAUGCAUAAGAUUGGUAAUAUAGUGAACGAGGGCCACAGUUUGGAUGUGAUUAGCAAGCAGCAUAAGUAAAAGCAUUCACAUAAACUGCUUUUCCUUUAAAGAAAUGCUGAUAAGAUUAUUCCCUCGGGUCCAAAAGCACAUGCAGACAUUUCUGUUCUGUUCUGCUCUUGAGCAAAGAAGCUAGCAGGAGGUCCGAAAAGUUACUUUAUCUUGUAAAGUCUCCAAAUGGGAAAUGACAGAUGAUAGUAAAGCUGUCACAGCUAAACUACACUUUAAAUUAAUGAUGGACUUGGUAGUUAAUGGUAAUUAAAAACGGUUGGCGUCCAUCAUCUUUUAGUAAAGUAAAAAUGUACGCAGCCUGCCGUCAUUCAAUAUUGUCUAUGCUAAUCUGCUAGCACCAUGAUUUGUGCCAGUCAGAUGUCUCCGGUUAUACGCCACUGCAAAUGAAAAUAAACAACACAAAUAAAAAAAAAUACAAUAUGAAUGAAAUAAAAAGUGAUUCAAAUGAAUCUUACAAACAUACCCCCCCCUCCACACACACACACACACACA